UAGGGUUUAGGGUUUAGGGUUUCUGUAACUUAUGAGUUUAAGCGUCGAACAUUUUGCUUCCUUCAUUUAACUUCCCUUGAAUAUACUUUUCUUUACGAGUUGGUUCUCACUAUAUAUGUGUUUCAGGCUAAGAAAUGAGUGUCAAGGGCUUCUAGGUUAAGAUCAUCAGUUUGGAGAGUGGGCGGAAAGCAUCUUGGCUAUAUUGAAAAAGAUUCAGAGGAAUUUUUGGGCGAAGCAUUGACCUUGGCAUUGACCUUCUAUUUGAGAGUGUUGAGACUUUAUAGGUACUCAGGUUUUACAUCUCAUGGCGGAUGAUCACUACCGUAUUGGAGUGGAGGAUGUAGAGGAUGAUGAUGAUGAUUCAUUUGGGGAUGGGGACGAGUUAUAUGAUGUGAACAAGGAGCCUGAUUUGGGUGAGGUAGAAGAUCAGGCUCAAGAUGUUUUGGAUCGUAUGCUUGAUGAGUUUUAAUUUGUAGCUGAACAAGUGCCUCCUAUCGGGAAUGCAAUGUCUGAGUCGUUCGGCGAGGAUCAAAGUGGAGGGAGGGUGAAGGGACCAGCGCAGAAAAAGCUGAGGGGUCCGACUACAAGUUUCAAGAAACCUGUCGGUCCAAUGGUCUUGGAGUAUGACAGGGUAGGACAACCUACAGGCAAAUG